rnacentral:rRNA from 1 species
UACGUAGGGGGCAAGCGUUGUCCGGAUUUAUUGGGCGUAAAGAGCGUGUAGGCGGCCAGGUAGGUCCGCUGUGAAAACCCGAGGCUCAACCUCGGGACGUCGGCGGAAACCAUCUGGCUAGAGUUCGGGAGAGGAGAGUGGAAUUCCCGGUGUAGCGGUGAAAUGCGCAGAUAUCGGGAAGAACACCCGUGGCGAAGGCGGCUCUCUGGAACGAUACUGACGCUGAGACGCGAAAGCGUGGGGGAGCGAAACAGG